CGAGAGUUGAUCAUGGCUCAGGAUGAACGCUGGCGGCGUGCCUAACACAUGCAAGUCGAACGGUGAUAUAUAGAUGAUUCGGUCUGAAAUAUAUCAUAGUGGCGGACGGGUGAGUAACGCGUGGAUAACCUGCCCCGUACUGGGGGAUAGCAGCUGGAAACGGCUGGUAAUACCGCAUAAGCGCACGAGGGGGCCUCCCCCUGUGUGAAAAGAUUCAUCGGUACGGGAUGGGUCCGCGUCUGAUUAGCCAGUUGGCGGGGUAACGGCCCACCAAAGCGACGAUCAGUAGCCGGCCUGAGAGGGUGAACGGCCACAUUGGGACUGAGACACGGCCCAGACUCCUACGGGAGGCAGCAGUGGGGAAUAUUGCACAAUGGGCGAAAGCCUGAUGCAGCGAACCGCCGCGUGAGUGAAGAAGUAUUUCGGUAUGUAAAGCUCUAUCAGCAGGGAAGAAAGGCCCUUUUGGGAGAUGACGGUACCUGACUAAGAAGCCCCGGCUAACUACGUGCCAGCAGCGGC
rnacentral:rRNA from 1 species